rnacentral:misc_RNA from 1 species
GAUGAAGAAUGCAGCGAAAUGCGAUAAUUAAUGUGAAUUGCAGAAUUCCGUGAAUCAUCGAGUCUUUGAACGCACAUUGCGCCUCAUGGCAUUCCGUGAGGCAUGCCCAUCUCAGCGUUAGAAAAUAUUCUCAAAUUUUAGUUUUGUGCUAAAAUUUGGAUCAUGUCAAGGAAGCUAUUACUAUUAUUGUGAUCGCUCUUUGGAAAUUGGUAGGUCUUUGAGUUGCUACUCAUAGAACGUGAUGAAUCUUUCUUCGUUCUAUUGUAAUUCACUCUGGUAGUCCUAAAACUUGUAUGCCUGUGGCAUAUCUUGUAAUUUGACCUGAGAUUGGGUAGGGAUACCCGCUGAACUUAAGCAUAUCAAUAAGCGGAGGA